CCAAUGCAGGAGACAUCACCACAGUCUCCCCGAGCCCACGGAUAAUGUCUUCGUAAAGUUUUCUACAUUCACUUAAAGAAGUGCUUAGGCUCUGCCCUAUGAUGUACAGUCCCCUUCCACAGCAUUGGAGAUGAGCUAGUCUUCAAGUCCGUGCCUUCUCAGAGUUCUUUUGGACAGUGAUUGAGGAGACAGACCAUGCAGGAAACAGUC
rnacentral:snoRNA from 1 species